UAUGUGACUGUUAACAGCAUACGCAGCUUAUUUUGCUUUGCUGGAUACAGCUUGUGAAAAUUCACUACAACUAUAUACAUCGACCACGAGCAACUGUGAAACACCGUGAAGGCGGAUUAAAUACAUUUUACAGCACCAACAAUGUUCUUGAAAUGUCAUUUUUCAUUUCUGGUUACGAUGUACAUUCUUCUUGUCAACGGAGAAAACGAAGAAAUUCGGAACUUAAAUUUUUGUUUCAAUUCCUCUCUAGAAGGUUUCCGACUCAAUGCCACUGUUCUGAUGACCAAAUACGUUUGCCAGUGGAUAGACUGUGUUAGGGAAUGUGCAAGUGAGCCAUGCUGUAGAUCAGUCAACUAUAAACAUAUAUCUUCUUCGAAAAAUGAAUCAAACUGCGAAAUGUUACACAACGUGGUCUACAAUGUUUCUGAACAAUCAUUGGAACGAAAUUCUCAAUAUGAUUAUUUGUAUUUGACAAGCCCAAUGAAGGUGAGAACUGCAUGAGAACGGAGUGUAGCAGAUAGUGAGACUGUAUGCAAGCAAUUUACAAUCAUAGUGACUACUUUGCCAUUUGUAGGUAAAUUAUAAUCUGAAGCAUUAGGUUCCGUCCAUAAAAUGUUUAACGUUAAAACUCACCUUAGGUAGCUUGAUUUAUUAUUGUGGCCAUCAUAUUCGAUAAUCACCUUUAUAAACAUUUUGCAUCAACAUAGUGCAUUUUAUUUCUCUAACUAAAGAUUGUCCAUACUUUUACUGAUUAAGAACAAAAUUUUCUUUUUAUAGAGAUAUAACGAAUGUUGCAU